rnacentral:rRNA from 1 species
UACAGAGGUCCCAAGCGUUGUUCGGAUUCACUGGGCGUAAAGGGUGCGUAUGUGGUGAGGUAAGUCGGAUGUGAAAGCUCGGAGCUCAACUCCGAAAUGGCAUUGGAAACUACCUUGCUCGAGGGUUGGAGGGGGGACUGGAAUGCUUGGUGUAGCAGUGAAAUGCGUAGAUAUCAAGCGGAACACCAGUGGCGAAGGCGAGUCCCUGGACAACUCCUGACACUGAGGCACGAAAGCUAGGGGAGCAAACAGG